rnacentral:rRNA from 1 species
CUUUAUAUAUUUAAUAAGUUGAAUUUUGUUUUAAGUUAAAAUUCUUAAAUAAUUUUAAAAGACGAGAAGACCCUAUAGAAUUUUAUAAAAUUUUAUCUUAUUAAUAUGAAUUUAUUUAAAAUUAGUUAAUAUUUAAUUUUAUUUUAUUGGGGUUAUAAAAAAAUUUAAUUAAAUUUUUUAGUUGGUGAAUUAUUAAUAAAUUUAUUUUUAAAAAUUAUUAUUUAUAUAAUUAAAUUAAAUUACCUUAGGGAUAACAGCGUAAUAUUUUUUAUAAGUUCAUAUUGGUAAAAAUGU